UCUCUUCCUUCACCUUUUCCAAGGCUUCGCCUCUAGAGAAAUCGGAUGGCGGUGCAGUCUGGUUUUGGGUGAGCUUGCGUUCGGUCUCGCACCCAGCAUAUCUAGGCCCAGUCUCUGUAACCGCCUGGCAUCGAUGGCGCCCUCCGUGACUCAGCGACGCAGGGGAGGCUCCAGGAUUGCAGUCUGCGUAGGUGACCUGCGUGGCGCGGACCGGGCGGGGCCUUUCGUCCUUGGCAAACCUAGUGUAAUUUUUCACUGCCAGUUGGAUCGUUGGAGAACAUCUGUUUUUACCAUUAUUUCACAAGUGUGGAGAAAGACCUAAAGGAGAAGUUAGCAGCUGCAGCCGCUAUCAUUGUUGAGUGUUUACUAGUGCCAACCUCUUUGAUAAUCGCUUGGUACUUAAUUCUCACAGUAAUUUUGUAAGAUGAAGAAACUGCUCAGAUUUGGCCAAGAUCACAUAAGUAGGAGGUGCAGAGUUGGAACCCAUUAUGACUGACUCCAAAUUAAUACAGUGCUUGUAGCCACUUAUAUAAUAAUGACCCUUCCCACCGACAUGGACUUCACUCCUAGUUAUCUUCCAAGACAGACUCAAAUAUGACCACCUCUAUCAAGUCUGUCUUAAGCCACCUCCAGUGGGUGUUGCUAUGCUUUCCUCUGUACAAGCUGGUGGAGUAUCAAUUUGUUCUUCCUUAA